CAAUAGGUCUUCUUCAAGACCACCGUUCUGAUACCAUGUUGAAUUU
rfam:Picea glauca, whole genome shotgun sequence.